rnacentral:lncRNA from 1 species
CUUUAACAGAGUCAGAAUAAAGUAAAAUGAUGGAGAUUCAAAACUACAAUUUUAUAAUGAAAGAAUACUUCGCAGAGUCAAGUCAAUCCAAGAGAGGAUGAGGAAUUUAUUUUCCAUGAUUUCCUAAAUUUACAUAACUCAAACUUCCAGCUUUUGAAUCUGAGAGGCCUUCCAUUUAGCAUCUCUCCAAUCCUGUCUGCUCCUCUUUCGCCUUCUGCCAUGACUAUAAGCAUCCUGAGGCCUCCCCAGAAUCUGAGCAGACGUCGACACCAUGUUCAAUCGUGUCCUCUACAACCUGCAGAACU